AUGGCCCCUGGCCCCACCACAGUGCCUUCUCCCCCCAGGCCCAUGAGCGAGUCUGUCAAAGUGCGCUCAGCCACAUCACUCUUGCACACAGACUCCUUCAGUGGUUUCCCAUCACACUCGGACCAAGUCCAAAGGUCUUGGUAUGGCCUUCAAGGCCUCCUGCCCAACUCUCCCUUGUUCACUGUGCCCUCUCCAGUCCCCCUAGCCUUGCAAAGCCCCAGGCUCACCAAGCGCACUUUGGUCUCUGGACAUUGCUACCCCCCCCCCCCCCCCCCCGCCGCGGUUCUUCCCCAGGUAUUCUUUGCAGGGUUUUAUCCCGGGCUGCAGUCAAAUCUCUGCUCACAUGUUACCUCCUCAAAGGGAAUUUCCCAUAAUACCACUUCAAAUCACUCCCUCCCACCUCACACUCACCGUCACAGGUUGGCUGAUAACUACCCUCUGUGCUUUACUGACCCUCUAGAAUCCGCCCUGCGUUACGGGCCGGUGUCACUGCUCUUGGUGUCACAGAAGUCGCUGACACCGCUUCCUAAAAGGUGGCCAACAGUUCCCCGACUGACCAACCUCAAGGUCGCAUUUUUUUUUUUUAAUUCACUACCGACAAAGUCAAGACCUCUCUUCUUCCCGAGCUCCGCGGAAACGUGUACUCAAAGGCAACUUCGCAUCCCCAACGGGACUUUUCCAGCUGUCACCCCAUCCCUCCCCUCCGCCGCAGGAAUGGGUAUCACCCGGCGUCCGGCACCGCCCCCCCCCCCCCCCCUCCUCGGGCUCCGGCUCUUCCCCGCUCCCUCUCCUCCCCGACCUCCGGGUCGCUCGACCUCCGCCCCGCUUCUCCCAGGGCUCUGCGGGCGCCACCCCGGCCCCUGCCACACCCCGUGCCCCUGCCCGGCACCCUCUCCCCCCGCCCCGGGCCACACAGCAAAAAGGGUCUGCGUCCGCGCGGUCCUCCUUCAGCAAGUGGCCUUUGCGGCUUCUCACCUCUUACCCCGUCUCCUGGGAGCGCCCCAGAUCCGCUCCCCACGGCGACCGUCCGACUGUAUCCCGCCUUCAACUUCUAGCGGGUCUCGCCUUCCCGGGCAUUACCACAGGGCUGAAGCGGACUCGGAUCCGACGGGAACAGAACCGGAGCCGCACGUGCCGCUCGGCGCUCGGAGGGUAGCUGCACUACGGGGGAGGCGCGACGACCCCGCGCGGGCCUCUGGGAAAUGUAGUUUCAGCACGCCGCUGCCAGGCAUCGCGAGGGAAGGGCGAGGCCCUGUCUGCGCAGGCGCGCGAUAUCACUUUCUCUGCCCGGCGCAGGAGCUGGCGCUCGCCGCCGCUUCGCCCUCUGGGAAGUGGAGUCGGGGAAACCGCGGGGUUGGCCCCUCCGACUCGCGGGUAUUCGGCUCCCCGGCUCCCCGGGCAACGCGCAAGCGCAGUUCCGACCCGGGCUGCAGACUCCAGCUCAUUGUGUUUCGCCUGCGAUGUGGCGGUUGCGGUUCCUCGCUACAGGCAGAGGUUCCUCGAAGGGCAAUCCGGUGGUGA
rnacentral:lncRNA from 1 species